UACGUAGGCAGCGAGCGUUGUUCGGAGUUACUGGGCGUAAAGGGUGUGUAGGCGGUUGUUUAAGUUUGGUGUGAAAUCUCCCGCUCAACUGGGAGGGUACGCCGAAUACUGAAUGACUUCGAGUGCGGGAGAGGAGAGUGGAAUUCCUGGUGUAGCGGUGAAAUGCGUAGAUAUCAGGAGGAACACCGGUGGUGUAGACGGCUCUCUGGACCGUAACUGACGCUGAGACACGAAAGCGUGGGUAGCAAACAGG
rnacentral:rRNA from 1 species